CAGAUCAUGAGGGGUGGGGGGGGGGGGCGCACUGCAGGCAGAGGGAACAGCAAAUGUAUCUGAGGGACCUGAGGACAAGGCAGUUUGGGAGAAGAAUGAUCAGUACAAUGAGGUUGCAACACAGAUUGGAGACAUGUUAAAUUUGGACAGUACUUAAGCAAUGAUGCUGUGAAAAAUUCACACACAUUUUAAAAUAGCAUCUGGCUUAACUUCUUGUCUACCACCUAUUUUUAAAAUAAACAUGAUUUUGCAUAGUGUUAUAUCUAAAUGCAAUAAGCACCUUCCUUUUGCUUGUAUUUAAUUUCAAACUGUUUCUCAACUUUAAGUAGGCUUUUGGAAAUUUGUCACUAAAGUUGAGGUCCUCAGUAGAAGUCUUUCCCUUUAAUGUUUUCACGUAUCCUACUUGAAUCCUAGCCACUAAAUUUCUGACUACUUGCAUUUAUCAUUAAUUGCUAGUCAUUUUGGUUUUAGUCAAGGGGCGGGGGCAUUGUUUCCCUUUUGUGGUAGUGGUGGUGUUGCUGCUGUUGUUGUUUUGGCUGAAAUCCAGAAAUAUUUUUUUAAAUUAAUGAAAAAUUCUGAAGUUUUGGUUUAUAAUUAGAAUAUAAGAGUCUCUGUUAACAUCUUAUGUAAAUCUGUGUGGCAGUAAAGAAUCCCUAGCAUUUGAAGUGGAAACUCUUCCUUCCACCAGAUGGCAGAGUAGUAUUAAAAAGCAAGCAAAGAAUCAACUACUGUAGACAAACUGGUGGUGAAUUUGCAAGAAUUAUCAAACACAUCAAACAGAUUCCUUUUGGCUUUAGAUUUGACUAAUGAAGCAAAAGAAGCAUAUCUCUUGAGAGAGAAAAAAAAAAAGAUUUAAAAUCCAUUAGAAUCUAAGCUUCACCAAGUAGAAGGUGGGCUCGUUGAGAGCAUAUAAUUGUUCAAUAAAUACUGGAUGGAUGGAUGGAUGGAUGGAAGGGUAAGUAAAUUAGGAAAAAAGGUAAAACAAAAUUGUUUUAUUCACACUUCACUUGUUUUCCUUCUUUUUUUGUAGAUUCCGAUUCCUUUUCCUUAUUAUCCAAAUCAGGUCCUGACACUUAAUGAUCUUAUAACGGUAAAUAUAUCUGCCCUGUUAAUCUAUAAAGUUCAUAAACAUAUUACAUUCAACUCCCUUUAUAAGAUAGGCCAGCUCAUCAUAAAAAUUUCUGUCUUUAUUAGUCUAAUUCAUUUCGAAACAAAAUAAAUCAGAGCUGUUAAAUUCAAAGUCAAAAAACAAUCUCAGUUCAUUUCUACGUUCUACAAACAAACAGUUCUACAUUCAUUAUUCAAUUCAUACAAACUAUAAAUUGACAAAACAACCUUUUCCAUCACUGAUGAGGGUGAAAGUGAAGAGUCAAAAGACUUAGACUUACAGAAUAAAUUCCUUUUGGAGAAAUGAAAAAGACUUGAUUAUUUCUUCACUAAUGAAGCAUUAGCAUAAACACAUUAUACAUUAAAGAUUAUCAAAGCUAAGUUCCAAUAGAUAAUGCUGCUUUUUUUUUUUUGGAUGAAAGGCACACAAUUCAAUUUUUUAAUAAGGCCCUUUAUUGAUACAGUAAGUUAUUCAGAAUAUUAGUUCAUGAAAACAGAGGAGAAAUACUUGAGUGGAGUUACAAAAGAUAACACUGAAAAAUUCCAUUUCCGUAUCUAAAAACAUACUUUUCAUACUUAAACAUUUUCUGAAAUCAAGACACAUCUCACAACAGAUACAUUUAUUCUAAGAUUUCUUUUUUCUUUAAAAUACUAUCACUUAAAAUGGUACAUUUUACAAUUGGUGGUAUCUUAGAAUCAGGGACAUGGCAGUAUUUUGUAAAAAUGUCAGAAACUCAGGCCUAAAUCAUUCGUGUGACGGAGAUAAAAUUUUUCAGGAUUUGAGACUAUUUAAAGCCAACCAUCUUGAGGAAUAUUUAAGUGUCCCAGAAACUUGAGACCAAACAAGCUUCUGAGUCUAAUCAAUAAGAACCUAAGUCUCUUGAGUUCAAGUGCUAGUGCUCUUCCCAUAAUCCACUCUGUUUAAGCAAUGUUAUAGUCCAUUUCCAAAUGGCAGACAAUAAAAAUUCUAGCAUAUUUCUAACGAAAAAUGUUUUAGGAAACUGCCUUCAAUGAUUAAUCAUUAACGAUUACAAAAUUGGCAAGUUCACCUUUAUAUCAAAACCUGCAGAAAGAGCACUGGCCUGUGGUUGGAAAGCCUAGAUUCAAACCUCUCUUAGAUUCUAAUUUCUCUCUUGAUUUACAUCUCUUUUACAAUUAAAUUAGCUGUGUGACCCUGGGUAAAGGUAUCGGUUUACCUCCCAGGUCUCUUCCAGUGCAAAUAUACUCCUCAGAUACUCAUUCACAUUACCAGAUCUGGACACUUAAUACCUAUUUAUACUUUCUUUUUUGGAAAAUGUUUAGAAGUACUCUUGGCCACAACCUAUAUCCUGGAAAGAAUUCUGACAGAAUAACUUCUAGAACUGCCAUACCUUCAUAGCCCAGGAUUCUCCCAGGAAUCCUAGUUAAGUCAGAAAGCAGGAAGAGUCACCCUUAAGAAACAAACACCACCUCAGGUAUUGUUCUUGCCUAAGCAAACAUUGGGACAGUGUUUGACUUACAUAUUCUUGCAUACACACCGGGAUGGACAGCUCUACAAAUACGAAGGGAUUCACUUUCUUUCACUGGUCAAUUCCUUGAGCAAGCUGCCAGUCUGUUACGACAGAAGGACUCGUGGAAGCUACAAAGCAAUACUUUUCCAGUGACACCGCUUGUGUAAACAAACUCUUGAAGCCAAGUAUUUAUAGUUGUCCUAAAAUUUUGGGUCAAGUAUCAUUCACAUAGGGAAUUUUCAUACUUCAAGAAACCUAGCACUUGCAUGGAUAUGUACACAGUGAGUUUCUUAACUGUUCAAGUUUUUAUUCUUUAGAUACAGUAAAUACAAUUACAAUAUUUCUGUGAAUUAAGGGAAUUUAAAUCUAGAUAUUGCACAUUCAUUUUAAAAUCUUAUAUCAUGUAAAUAAACCUCUAAAUAAAAUGGAACUCAUUUUUCAAUAAAAACAAAUUUUCAUAUAGAAAAUCUUCUAGCUUAUAUGUGUGCUAAGUUACAAAUAUGUUAAAAAAUAAACCCAUUAACAGCACUAGCAUUGAUCGAUUUUUCUUCUUUCAGUUAAUCACUUCUAUUCUGAACGAACUUGAGGUAAGUUCAUAUUAAUUUUAAUGUUUAUUUAUUAUUGAGAGACACAGAGAGACAAAGCAUGAGCACUGGAGGGGCAGAGAGAGGGGAGACACAGAAUCUGAAGCAGGUUCCAGGCUCUGAGCUGUCAGCACAGAGCCGGAUGCGGGGCUCAGACUCACAAACCACGAGAUCAUGAUCUGAGCGGAAGUGUGACGCUUAACCAACUGAGCCACCCAGGCGCCCCUCAUAUUAAUUUUUAAGUUAUUAUAAAGUAUAAACCUAUUUAAUGGACUGAGGGUAAUGUCUUUUUUUUUUUUUAUCUUUUAGGGCUUCUUUGGGGUAAGACUUUAUUUCUAUGAUUAUAUUGAUAAAAACAAGUGACAUUUAAUAUCAGGAAAGGUAAGAAUAACUCUCCUCAACUAUAAAAAUAUAUGGCAGAAUCAAACCCAACUGACUUACCCAAAUUAGAGCUCCUGCGUUAUAAACUCUAAACAAUUUAGAUCAGAAUUUCUGCAGGUCUAAAAAGGUAUUUUCAUAAUGCCAUGGUAUUUGACAAAAUUUCAGCCUACGAAGUAUAUGCAAUGUUAAGAAAUUUCAAACAGUAAAUUUUUCCUCAAGCUUGUUUUUGUUUUAUGGACAAUUCAUAGUAAGCAGUGAGAAAAGUCUGCUGUGAAACUACCAAAUCUAGAAAUGGCCUCAUUUCAAGGCAAGGCAAAACAUCUCCUUAACACCAAAGCAUCAGCUUGCUGGAUGGAGAGGCUACAAAUCUUGAGACUUCUUUGAUUCUCAUCCAAGUUUGUUCUCACUUUAAAAUAUAUACAAAAGAUAAGCUUUGUGCAGUGGGUGUAUCAUAGCCAAUGAGGUUUAUCCAAGGCACGAUUAUUGCUAAUUGAAAAUACAUACAAAAGAUAUAUUCCUUUUUUAAAUAUCUGAAUGAAUGUCAAUCAAAAUUAUUAUAUAUAAAUUAAUGUUAAUCUACCUUGAGAGAAGCUAAUGAGUCAAAAUUUUCUGAGUCCCAAUUUUGAGAAAGAAAUUGGAUUUCACCCGUUUUUGUCCUUAUACAUUUCAUUGCCCCCAAAUGCUUACUUAGUAUUUCUUACCACAUCAAAUGCUCUUAUCAGGCCAUCAAAGGCCAAGUGGGAGAAGCGAAGUGCUUUGUUGCAGAAAAACCCAGUUGAGGAUUCAAUUUAUCACCAUUUAAGAUGUAACAGGAUCAUGUUAUUUUCUAUCUGCCAAUACACAUGAUUGUAUGAAUACUAACCCAUCAGCAAUAAAAUGACCAUAAGAUGGGAGAUGUGAGUGGAAGCAAAGAAGAAAUUAUGGCAAGAAUACCUUCAUAUAAUAACUGUAAUCUGUAUUGUUUAUUUUGGCAGAGAUAAUUCUCUCCCUCCUAUGUCAGAAGUUAUAUACUAAGGUUAGUAAAAUCUCGAAAUAUCUUUCAAGUACUACUAUAUAUUUAAUUUUUUUUUAUCUUAGGAGUUUAAUAGUCUCAGGUCACAUCCAUAUUGAUAAAUUAAUAGCAUGAUGAAAGGUAUACUGAUGAAAGCAGUAAUUAGCCUACUUAAAUUAUAAAUGCUUCCUUCAAAUGAUGUAUUUUUAAAUCAGUUUAUUAAAACCUCACAAAUAUGUUAGAAAAUAAUACCAACCACCGUUUCUUACACUGUAAGAAAAUAUAGCAUUUAGCUUCUAAAAGUUGUUGGAAUUUUCAAGUGCCAAAUAUUCAGGUUUUAGAUUGUUAUGUUCUUACUAUACAAGUUUAGCAUAUGCUUCCAUUUGAGUCUGAAAUGCUGGCAAGACAAACACCGAAUUGCCACCACAUAUCCUUAGGUUCAGAUAUUAUCAAGUAAAUUCUCUUUGGGUUCAAAUUAUGCAAACAGUUACAGUGAUGCUAGUUAAACCAGUUGUGACCUUAAAGUCAAGUCAUAAACCAUUAAGUGUGUUACUGUUGAUGUGAGUACUGCUUAAAUAAUAUAUAAUCUUCCAAACUGCAGACUUAACACAACAAAUCAUCAAAGCUUCAUGACCUUAGUAGACAAUACAGAAUAAGUUUCGGAACCUGGCAGACCAGGAUUCAAAUCCCAGCUCUGUCCCUUACUGAAUAACCUUGGGAAAAUCUUUAGAAGGAUCAUUUUCACCUGAAAUGGAAAUAAUACCACCUAACUUCAUAGGAUUGUUGUGAGGAUUGCAUGAUAUAAUGUAGAUACUCAGUAAAUGGUAUCUGUUAUUACUAUUUUACUAAAUAGUAAAAUAUUUUUAGAUAAAAAGUAUUCAGAGUAUUCUUCCUUAUACCUAAAAUAUAAGAAAAGCAAAUAUGGCAUCAAUAUCACCUAAUGAUAUAGGAGCAAAUAUUCCUCCAGAAAGGUCUUCAACUAAAACUUUAAUAUGGUUUUUCUUAUUAUAGAUGAUGCUGGAUAUUUAUAACACUUACCAGAAGAUUACUUCUAUUUUAUAAUUUUGCAUACUUUAGAAAUGUUCCAGAGAAAACUCUAAAAUGCCAUGAAGAAUUCAUUAUCAAUAGACCAUGUGCUUUAAUCAUUCUUUAAAUAAAAUAUUACCUACUAUCUUUUCUAAUGUCAAUUUAAAUGUUUCAACACUAUUAGAUGUAAGUAAAUGUUGACCUUCAGGGAAUUGCUCAAACUUUCUCAAGAGCUUUUGUAAGCAGCUUUAAAAAUUCUAUUCAGUGCCAGGAAAAAGCAGUCUCUUCCUGCCAAACAGUAAAAGUAGAAUCCAACUCUGAUUCUGGGAGAAGGCCAUCCUACCCCUCAGCUAGUGAGCGGGUCAUCCUGGUCAAGCACAAGUCCCUUAUUACAUACCAGGGACCAGGAUUUUAUGGAUUUUAGAAAAUUAAUACCAUACUUAAACCUUGUAACUCUUCCAGAGGGGUCUGAAACAGCAUCUGGAAAUCAAACAUUCUAAUGUUUCUCAGCAAACCUCAACUCGCACUAAUGAGGAAAAAGCUUCCUGUCAGUUUAGUUCAGGUUUACCACCAAAGUAAAAGUAGCUUUGACACUAAAUUUAGCAGGGGUUGAGGGGACUUUUGAUUUACAUUAGCCCAAGUUCUGUUCUCAAGCUACAGAAUAAGCCUAAUACCUUUUUCAAAUAUGUGAAGAAAAGGAAACCACCAUGUCUCUAUCCCUUACACCUCCUUUUCUUCAGAUGCCCCAUCUGUAACCCAACUAGAAUGAAGACGGAAUUAUGAUGGUCCCUACUCAAGGUUGACAGGAGUAAAUAUCAUGGGAUUUUCUCAAUAAAUAUCUUAGCCAGGAUGUGAUACACAUGCCCACUAAGACAAGUAUUAUUUUCAUUCUUCUUCCCUAAGUAUCUAGAACAUCAACAACUCUUUCCUUUAUCUGGGAAUUAUAAUGUUAACGGUGGGCCUCUCAAAAACCUAUUCCAAUCCUUAUUUCCUUCCUAACAAAUAAUAUGUUUAACUCUCAAAGGCUUCCCUCUCUCAUUUCAAUCCUUUCUGAACAUCUAUUUUUAUUUUUAUUUUACUUCUUAGAGAAAGCAUGGGUGGAGGAGAGAGGCAGAGGAAGAGAGAGAGAAUGAAUAUCCCAAGCAGGCUCCAUGGUGAGUGUGGAGCCCAACAUGGGGCUCGAUCUCACAACCCUGGGAUCAUGACCUGAGCCAAAAUUAAGAGUUGGACACAACGAACUGAGCCACCCAGGUGCCCCUGAACAUGUAUUUUUACUUUAUUUAUGAUACAUACAGUUACAGUAGAGUGAAAUAAACACAUCAAUUUAAAUUACUAAUUUCCAGGACAUAUUUUUAAAUUCAGAAUUUUUAAAAAAUGAGAACACGAGCUGUUCAUUGAUAUUGAUCUUUAUUAACAAGAUCAAUUUCCUCAGUAAACUGAAAUUUCCUCAAUAAACUGGUAAUUCUGAAGUCAAAACAAGGUUUUCAUUUUUUAAAUCAGCUUCAACAAGAUCACAUAAAGCAAAUAAUUUAAAGACAGGUUAGACACUGGCAGUGUUCUCCUAAAGGAGCCUGAUAUUUAUGCCAGAAACAUCCUUCAGACCCUAGAUCAACAGGAAAAAAAGAAAAGAAAGAACAUGGAAGGCAGAAGUAAUGGCUGACCCUAAAUUUAUCUUUAUUCAGGUUAUGGUUCUUCAAAGAGCAUCAGCUGUUUCGAUUUGGUUUAAACAAUGCUUAAAUAGAAUACAUAAAAAAUAUGUUGUUUAUAUUUCUUCUGACUGGAAAGCAGAAAAUUAUGUGUUGCAUUUCAUCAUAUUUACUAAUUUUAUUCUGAUUAAAACCUUCUAAAUGAAAACAGUUUUGAAAGUGAAUGAAAUAAUUUCCAAGUGACCGUGCCUGCCCCCCUUAUCUAUCCUAUGAGCUCUGUGGUACCGCCUUCUUUUCAGCACGUGCUCUUCUGCACUUGGCUGACACAGAGAUGAGGCUACAACCCGCGACACUCAGCAUCAGAGUUCUCACUCCAGUGUGCAUCUCGUUUCUCUGCCACGAGUUUGAUGAAUUGAGAGUGACUGGCAUAAAGCUGGAGUUGAUCACUGAUGUCCACCCAUUUCACUUUUCCAGCAUCAUCUCCAGCUUCUAGGGUAAGGUUAUCCAUUAUCUCACCUAUUGCCAAAGCACAACAUCACCAAGAGAAAGUAAUUCUUUUAUUUAUGUCCCUUUCAACAUAACUCUGUAGCUUCAAGUAUUCUUACUGAAAACAAUUUAAAUCAUUAUUGUAUUAGGUGCCCCAGGGAAUUAAAAACUAGAAGCUUCCAAAUUUUCCAAAUGCCCAAAUUUUAACCACAUUGCUGAAUUUUAAAUAGAGGCACCAGUAAGGAAGCUUUUCUCUUUAAAAAGUAAGAAUAUUGGCUUUAGCUUUAAAAAAAAAAAAAAAAGAGUUCAUAUUAAAUGAGUAUGAAACUUACAUCAAAACAAGUUCUAGAGGGAUUGCAGAUUUAAAUGUAAAAAAAAGAAAAACAAUUAUUGGCAAUUCAUUUUACACUCUUAAGUGGACCUUUCUAAAAUAAGCAUGGGGGUGCCUGAGCAGCUCAGUCAGGUAAGUGUCUGACUCUUGGUUUCAGCUCAGGUCAUGAUCUCAUGGUUCACUGAUAGCACAGACAACAUGGGCUCCAGCUCUGCAUCAGGCUCUGGGCAUAUAACUUGGAGCCUGCUUGGGAGUCUCUUUCUCCCUCUCCCUCUGCCCCUUCCCCCUGUGCCUCCCCCCCAAAUAAAUAACCAUGACACCAAACCAGAAAUCAUAAAUGAAAAUAUUUAUAUUUACAAAUAAAUAUAUUUAUUAAAAUCUUUAUAAUUAUCAAAAAAAAUUAAAAAUAAAGCUCUUAAUCACUGUUGGGAAUGUAAACAGACUAUUUCUGUAGGACAAUUUGGCAAUGCUUAUCAAGAGCUUUUAAAAAAGCAAAUGCUGCAGCACCUGGAAGGCUCAGUCGAGGAGCCAACUCUUGAUUUCAGUUCAGGUCAUGAUCCCAGAGUCGAAAGACUGAGCCAUUGGGCUCCAUGCUGAGCAUGAAGCCUGCUUGAGAUCCUCUCUCUCUCUCUCUCUCUCUCUGUCUCUCCCCCUGCUUGCACUCUCUUUCUAAAAGAAGAUAGGCACCUGGGUGGCUCAGUCAGUUAAGCAGCCGACUCUUGGUGUUGGCUCUGGUCAUGAUCUCAUGGUUUGCUGACAGCACAGAGCCUGCUUGGGAUUCUCUCUCCCUGUCUCUCUCUGUCCCUCUCCUGCUUGCUCAUGCUCUCUCUCAGAAUAAAUAAACUUUAAAAAAAAAAAGAAAGAAAGAAAAGGAAAUUGCUCUUUGAUGAGAAUUCAUUCCGCAAAUACCAGAGUGCCUCUUAUCAAGUCAGUUUAAUAAACACAAGUUUACCUGUUUCAUCAUGGUAGUUCACAGCUUCUGUCUCCAUCCAUGCAUUAUCAGUGUUUCGAGGAUCAUCGACAUAUCCUUUAUAUAUCUAUUUUUAAAAGGAAGCAGACAA